GACGAACGCUGGCGGCGUGCUUAACACAUGCAAGUCGAACGGUGAUGCUCCAGCUUGCUGGAGUGGAUCAGUGGCGAACGGGUGAGUAACACGUGAGCAACCUGCCCCAGACUCUGGAAUAAGCGCUGGAAACGGCGUCUAAUACUGGAUACGAAACUGGCCCGCAUGGGCAUGGUUUGGAAAGUUUUUCGGUUUGGGAUGGGCUCGGGGCCUAUCAGCUUGUUGGUGAGGUAAUGGCUCACCAAGGCGACGACGGGUAGCCGGCCUGAGAGGGCGACCGGCCACACUGGGACUGAGACACGGCCCAGACUCCUACGGGAGGCAGCAGUGGGGAAUAUUGCACAAUGGGCGAAAGCCUGAUGCAGCGACGCCGCGUGAGGGAUGACGGCCUUCGGGUUGUAAACCUCUUUCAGCAGGGAAGAAGCGAAAGUGACGGUACCUGCAGAAGAAGCACCGGCUAACUACGUG
rnacentral:rRNA from 1 species